rnacentral:lncRNA from 1 species
UUUUUUAUAAAAAAAUAAAAUGGUUUAUGGAAUAUAAUAUAAAUAGGAACUCACUUUUUAUGACGUUAGGAUUUUAAGUUGUGAACUUUAAUGAUCGAUGCUUUCCAAAAUUCGAACAACAUUCUUCCAAACACAUAUAGAAAAAUAUUAAAUAGACCCGAACCCGUCCCGUUUGUAGGAUAUUCGUGAUGAAGAAUUCGUCCUGUUCGAAUUUUACAGACCCGGACUAACUUUUACCCUUAGCCAUACCCGCCCGUCUCGCGCGAUCUUCAAAAAUAGGCGGAUCCGGGACGACCCCGAACAUCCUUGACACGAACAACCUGAUUCAAAUAUCAAUGAUGUUCGUUCGAUGAAAAAUUUGUUGAUCGAUGAGGAGCAUGUUAGUAAAGAUAAUUGUAAUAAUGACAAAGAUAUCUAUAUAUUAUGCAACUUGUGAUGAGGAUGAACCAGGUUCUAAGAGGAUGUGGUUGAAAUGAUAUUGGUAAAAAUGAUGUUCAAGGUGAAGAUUUAGAUGUAGAAUUUGGUGGAUGAUGAUAAAUUUGAUGGCGAGAAAAAGAAGAAUUUUGACAAUUCAGAUAUUAUGAAAUUUUUUGUUAGUUAUAUGCCUACUGAGGUAAUUGAUGACACACAAACACAUACUAAACUAGUUAUGGAAUAUGUGGUUCUGAAGGAAGCAGAGAACGUAGAGGUCAUAUUACCUGAAAAAAUGGAUAAUCUUUCCAAAGAUAGUAAUAUUGAAGUUGUGGUUGAACAUGAUGUGGAGAGGACGACGAAACUGAGAUGACUCGAUAAAUUUGAAUUAAAAGUUUAACUCAACUAAUGUGUCGUUGGAUGUCCAAACUGAUAAAAUGAAACUAACUGAUGAUUGAUGAGGGCAGGGUAAGGAAGCCCGCCUUAAAAUUUGGCUAUUUAAAAAUGACCUAUAUUAAAUUUAUAAUUAUAUAGGGGGUUCAAUAUAUUUUCACACUAUAUUAUUAUUUUAGGAGGGUUAACUUAUAAAUUUUACAUUAUAUAAAUAUAAAAUAUAUUUUAACAUAUCUCUGAAAUUAAAAUUAAUACCUAAAUCCCCCAAAUCUUUAAAUCCCCUAAAACUCACACCGGUUGAGGACUUAAGGAGUUAAGGGACGACUGGAUAAUCUGGACGCCGCUACAUGCUUGCAGCAGCGAGGAUUGUCAACUUCUUCAUGUGUGUACCACCGAGUAGAGGGGUUA